UGCUCCCCUCUUUCAAUUUUGCUAGUCUACCCAUGAUUAUGUUAUUUCUUUGUUGCUUGCAGUCAACGAAGGGGGUACCAGAGUAUGGAGUAGGAUGGCUGCUGGCUGCAAGUGCUUUGUGAAUUGUGAUUCUAUCAAAAAUCAUAACAGUUAGCCAACACUUAGAGCACGUUUCUAUGGAGAAAUUUCUUAAGCGGAAAGCACCAGAUUGUACAAGCAAUGUGGGGAGUUCAUAUCCCUUCGACUAGAUGAUGCCAGUUGGGAAAAGACGAUCGAAUAUGAUCCAGGCUCAAGGAAAGGAAUUGAUGAUUAUCAUCCCAACCAAAGAGCCAAGGUGAGAAGAAAGUACUCAGAGAAUGGGCCUUGCCAACCUGGUGAUCAUGCUUUUCCCAUAUCAGUUAUUUCUAACAAAGAUAGAAAAUUCAAUCCGGCAUGGUUUGAUGAGUUUGGUGGAUGGCUUGAGUACAACAAGUCCAAAGAUAGAGCAUAUUAUUUCUUUUGCUUCUUGUUUAGGGACCGGAAUAAAAAGAUAGAGCAUAUUAUUUCUUUUGCUUCUUGUUUAGGGACCGGAAUAAAAAGGAGGAAGGAUACAAAGCAUUUGUUAACGUUGGUUGGAAUGGCUAUUAUAGAAAGGAUAGGCUAAGAGAGCAUGUAGGUGGAGUUGGUAGCUUGCACAAUCAACCAGCAUUGUUAGGAACUUAUGAUGUUUGCUGGUUGGUCUCUUACGACAAAAAAAAAUAUUCGUCACAAUACAUCGUUGGACUAGUUUAUGACUAUCUGUAUUUGGUCUAGUGACAAGCACCUUAUUUUCAUCAGUAAUCAGCACCACCCCUAUUGAACAUCAUAAACCGAAAUGGCAUAGUGACGAAUAGCUCUAAUGUCAUAAGAAAUUCGUCACAAAAGGUCGUAGCCUCUCAGAUUCCGACCAUUGAUUUUAUAUUUCACGUUUUUUUUUGUGUUAUCCAGAGUUCAUGGAACUAGCAACUAGGUGGCUUUGGUUGUAGCCUCGAUGAAGAAUGGAGAAAAAGGUGAAGGGUGCUUAGUAUUUAUCUCCGAAACAACAAUGCAAGGGUGCGUUGAACAAUUAGUAGUUAUGUGAGCAGUCCAACAACCAUCCUUGCACAGUAAGUUGCAGGGGCAAAGUUACUGUUGUUACGUAUAUGUACUAGUAUGUAACUUAGAAUAUAUCGAAGCUAGCAUAUGCCAUUCCCACUAAAAUUACUGGAGAAAACUCAGUCCCCUUAGUAGGGCCUUCUAGCAAGUUUAACCAAUAUAGCCAACUGCUAGCUCUAAGCACUGCUAUAGAAAUAAUCAUAGGUCUUGGUUUGUGACGGACCAUCAAUGCCGAAUAUGAUGCUGCGCCGGUACCAAAUUAGCGGCACUAAGUCCAGCAGCAAUGAUGGACUGGGAACCGACACUCAUAGCUUUACACUAGCCAGAACAAAAGGGGAUGCCGCUCAAUGAAUCAGCUCGAUUCAAGCUGAUUGCUUUCAAACCCCCUACCCCCACCGUCACCCUCCAAUGAGAUAGUCAAGAACACCGACAACCUAACACAUCAGAAUCAACAUCCACGUAGAUCAAGAACACCCACACAAUCAAGGAAAAAUCCAUAGGUUGAGAAUAUCCACUGAACAUAUAUGAAAUACAUGCACCGAAAAAUGAAGCAACUAUACAACUAGCAUUUUUUAUGCUGCGGAAAAUGAAGUAUGGGGGCCAAUGUCCUCCUGAAGUUUGGACAAAAAGACCCGAUUGGGUAGCCGCACUCCACCAUAUCUCAAGUCGGUGACCUCAAGAAGGUGAUGAUGGCAUCGUAGAUCUGGAACACUCCAUCCUGACCACUCCGCUCGUUUGCAUCUCAUCACCGACUUGAGCAUGUCACCCAUUGCUAUAGUGUCAUCCCUAGCUCCUUAACGUAGAAUGUCAUGACCUAUAACAAAAUAACUACAUGUGGUACCAUAGUGAGGGUGUAGCCGCAUGGGUGGCAGUAGUGGAUGGGAAGGGGGUCAAAUCAUAGGCAUGUUGUAUAGUUAACCAAUACGCUAUAGGGAGCGCUACGGCUCGAAUGUCUGAUAUUUGCCAAAUAUCGAAUGGUGUUUCGUCAUGUGUAAAUAAAUGUUUCAGAUGUUUCAUUACUUGUUACAAAUAUUUUAACAAAAAUUAUCUCAGAUAUUCAUCACUUGUUGAGAAAUAUUUCCUCACUAGGCAGGAAAUGUUUAGAUGUUUCAUUACUUAUUAAAAAACUAUUUUAACAAAAAUUAUUUCAGAUAUUCAUUACUUGUUGAAAAAUAUUUCAUCAAUAGGUAGAAAAUAUUUCAUGAUCUUAGAUAGUAGGGUAUAAUGGCAUCAUAGGUUGUUAUUUUGUUUUGAGACAAUAGAAGAAAUUUACAUGCUUGGAUUUUUUUUAAAAAAAAUAUCGAAAAGAAACAAAAGAAAUAGAAUGGAUAUACAUGAUGCCGGGAUGAACUGAAAAAAAUUAAUAGAAUGAGGGAACAAGAAAUACCAUUAGCAAUUCCUAUGCCCAGAUCGUUGAUACAGACCAGGAUGAAAGUGGGGAAAAUAUUUUUAUCCCUCGAAGAGAUGUCCCCUUGUUUGCUUAAAACCAUUUAAAUGGUUAUGAAAAAUUCUAGAAAAUUUUGGCAACACUUAUAAAAUAGAUCUAUCUAUCUUGAGUCCAAACUCAACUCACACAAAUCGAGAUAUAAAAAAAGACAAAUUCGGCGUAUGAAUAGUAGUGUAUUUUGUUUAUAUCUGAAUUUGUCUUUUUUGUUUCUCGAUGUGUAGAUCGAAUUUGAACUUUGAUUUUUGUGGCCUAGAAGAUAUUACGAUACUCUACAUUGUUAUUUUUUUUCAAAAUUUUUCAUGACUAUUCACAUCGAAUAUAAAAGAAAAAUUUGCACGAGGGGACAUCCCCUCGAGGGAUUAGAAUCCACUCCCAUGUGUACGGGGGUACCAAGGACAUCAGCUUGGAUGGAAAUGGUGCCAUAUGGCUGAUACCUACAUAACCCUCUACUACUGGAGCCUUGUCCAUUACCCCCUCCGUUGCAUAUUCAUAUUUUUUAAAAACUUUAUCAAACUUAAAAGAAGUUUGAUUGAAAAAUCAAAACGACUUAUAAAAUGAAACGGAGGAAGUAUCAUCUUGGAAUUCUGCCUGCAUUAGUUUAUGCCCCUCUCCAGUACCUCAAUUCUUGAAUGCGCCACCCUUGCAUGUCUGCCAUCGUUUACUGAUGGGGUUCAAUGAUCGAGCCGAAAAGAAAGUAGGGCGGCAAUUCCCGGUGCCUCCCUCUCCUACCUCAUGACCUCUUAGAGUUCCUGCGACAAACUAAUAUCUGACUUUUAUUUUCUGUUGCUGUCUCUCCUAGAAUUCGAAUUCGUGCAACAAGAUGGUUUCAAUUUUGGUUCAUAUCAGGUUCAUCAAGCAUCGAUGAACAAGAAAGUUCUGCAAAACUCAUAUUUAUCGCCAAAGCAACCAAACAAGGGUGCAUUUUGACAACAAGCAAUGCCAUGUGAGCGGUCCGCCAACCAUAUAUUUCGUCGAGUUAGUUGCAGACAUAAAGUCGAUCGAUAGGAUGUAAGCUAGCACAUGUAUACGUGUAGAGAAAUUUGGCUCCAGGCCUCCAAAAUCCUGUUCAUAGAAUACAUGUUAUGUGACAAAAGAAAAAAUUAGAUUGAACUAGUCAACCUGUGUGUUGCACAGGCUAUUACUAUUAUUAGUAUCAUAAUAUUUAGAUUCUAAACAUAUAUCGUUGUGUCAACUACAACACAGUAAUUAUUAAUUUAGGCCUAUCUCAAACUUUGUAAAA